UCAGGCCUAACACAUGCAAGUCGAGCGCCCCGCAAGGGGAGCGGCAGACGGGUGAGUAACGCGUGGGAAUCUACCGUGCCCUACGGAAUAGCUCCGGGAAACUGGAAUUAAUACCGUAUACGCCCUACGGGGGAAAGAUUUAUCGGGGUAUGAUGAGCCCGCGUUGGAUUAGCUAGUUGGUGGGGUAAAGGCCUACCAAGGCGACGAUCCAUAGCUGGUCUGAGAGGAUGAUCAGCCACAUUGGGACUGAGACACGGCCCAAACUCCUACGGGAGGCAGCAGUGGGGAAUAUUAAGGAUGGGCGCAAGCCUGAUCC
rnacentral:rRNA from 1 species